rnacentral:rRNA from 1 species
ACGAGUGGCGGACGGGUGAGUAAUGUCUGGGAAACUGCCUGAUGGAGGGGGAUAACUACUGGAAACGGUAGCUAAUACCGCAUAACGUCGCAAGACCAAAGAGGGGGACCUUCGGGCCUCUUGCCAUCGGAUGUGCCCAGAUGGGAUUAGCUAGUAGGUGGGGUAACGGCUCACCUAGGCGACGAUCCCUAGCUGGUCUGAGAGGAUGACCAGCCACACUGGAACUGAGACACGGUCCAGACUCCUACGGGAGGCAGCAGUGGGGAAUAUUGCACAAUGGGCGCAAGCCUGAUGCAGCCAUGCCGCGUGUAUGAAGAAGGCCUUCGGGUUGUAAAGUACUUUCAGCGGGGAGGAAGGGAGUAAAGUUAAUACCUUUGCUCAUUGACGUUACCCGCAGAAGAAGCACCGGCUAACUCCGUGCCAGCAGCCGCGGUAAUACGGAGGGUGCAAGCGUAAUCGGAAUUACUGGGCGUAAAGCGCACGCAGGCGGUUUGUUAAGUC